UCCCGGUGAGGCGCCGCCGUCCGGCCCGGCCUCGCCUCGGACGCCUCGCUCCGACAUGCCCCGCUCUGGCGGCCGGGCUCGCGGAGGAUCAUGACUGCGGCAGCGAACUGGGUGGCGAACGGGGCGAGCCUGGAGGAUUGUCACUCCAACCUCUUCUCGCUGGCUGAACUCACAGGAAUCAAAUGGCGUAGGUACAAUUUUGGAGGGCAUGGGGACUGUGGACCCAUAAUUUCAGCCCCAGCCCAGGAUGAUCCAAUCCUGUUAAGUUUCAUCCGCUGCCUGCAAGCCAACUUGCUGUGUGUAUGGCGUCGUGAUGUCAAACCAGAUUGCAAAGAGUUAUGGAUAUUCUGGUGGGGAGAUGAACCCAACCUAGUGGGUGUAAUACAUCAUGAACUGCAGGUUGUGGAAGAAGGACUCUGGGAAAAUGGCCUUUCCUAUGAAUGCAGGACGCUGCUCUUCAAAGCGAUCCACAAUCUGUUAGAAAGGUGCCUAAUGGAUAAGAACUUCGUCAGGAUUGGGAAAUGGUUUGUUCGGCCCUAUGAAAAGGAUGAAAAACCAGUCAACAAAAGUGAGCAUUUGUCCUGUGCGUUCACAUUCUUUCUUCAUGGGGAAAGUAAUGUAUGCACGAGUGUGGAGAUUGCCCAACACCAGCCAAUUUAUCUGAUCAACGAGGAGCAUAUACACAUGGCUCAGUCUUCCCCUGCACCAUUUCAAGUACUGGUGAGUCCUUACGGCUUGAACGGCACGCUGACAGGCCAAGCAUAUAAGAUGUCAGACCCGGCCACCCGUAAGCUGAUCGAGGAGUGGCAGUAUUUCUACCCAAUGGUGCUGAAAAAGAAAGAGGAACUGAAAGAGGAAGAGGAGUUGGGAUAUGACGAUGAUUUCCCUGUGGCAGUCGAAGUAAUUGUCGGUGGUGUGCGGAUGGUUUAUCCGUCAGCUUUCGUUUUGAUCUCUCAGAACGACAUCCCAGUUCCUCAGAGCGGUACCAGUGCUGGAGGCCAUAUUACAGUUGGGCAGCAGGGUCUUGGGAGUGUGAAGGACCCAAGUAACUGUGGGAUGCCUCUUACCCCUCCCACCUCUCCAGAACAGGUUCUCAUAGGUGAGAGUGGAGGUACUCAGAGUGCGGUCAGUCACCUAGGUUCCCAGGAAGGGGGGAUGAUAACUAUGCACAGUCCAAAGAGAUCGGGGAAGAUUCCUCCAAAACUCCACAAUCAUAUGGUCCAUCGAGUCUGGAAGGAAUGCAUCCUCAACAGAACCCAGUCCAAGAGGAGCCAAGUGUCAACUCCAACUCUUGAAGAAGAGCCUGCUAACAAUCCUGCUACUUGGGAUUUUGUGGAUCCGACCCAAAGAGUUAGCUGUUCUUGUUCCAGGCAUAAACUUUUAAGACGUUGUGCAGCAGGACCCAAUCGACCUCCCACAAUAUCUCAACCAGGGUUCAGUGCAGGACCAUCAUCAUCUUCAUCUUUGCCACCUCCUGCUUCUUCUAAGCACAAAACAACAGAACGACAGGAAAAAGGAGACAAGUUGCAAAAGAGACCCUUGAUACCAUUUCACCAUAGGCCCUCUGUGGCCGAAGAGUUAUGCAUGGAACAAGAUACAUCAGGACAGAAGCUAGGGUUGGCAGGGAUGGACUCCUCCUUGGAGGUGUCUAGCAGUAGGAAGUAUGAUAAGCAAAUGGCCGUGCCUUCCAGAAACCCAAGCAAGCAAAUGAAUCUGAAUCCUAUGGAUUCACCUCAUUCCCCUAUAUCCCCUCUGCCACCAACACUCAGCCCUCAGCCUCGAGGUCAGGAAACGGAGAGUUUGGACCCACCAUCUGUCCCUGUGAAUCCAGCCCUCUAUGGAAAUGGCCUAGAGCUCCAGCAGUUGUCUACUCUGGAUGACAGAACUGUCCUCGUAGGCCAAAGACUGCCUCUGAUGGCAGAGGUUAGCGAGACGGCCUUAUAUUGUGGGAUCAGGCCCUCAAACCCGGAGUCUUCAGAUAAGUGGUGGCACAGUUACUGUCUCCCACCCAGUGAUGAUGCUGAGUUCAGGCCUCCAGAGCUCCAGGGUGAGAGAUGUGAUGCCAAAAUGGAGGUCAUCACCGAGAGCACUGCACUGCAAAGACUCUUAGCACAGCCUAACAAACGGUUUAAAAUCUGGCAAGACAAGCAGCCCCAGAUGCAGCCACUCCACUUCCUUGACCCAUUGCCUCUAACCCAACCACCUGGAGACAGUUUGGGAGAAGUCAAUGACCCGUAUACCUUUGAGGACGGUGACAUAAAAUACAUCUUUACGGCAAACAAGAAAUGCAAGCAAGGGACGGAGAAAGAUUCCCUGAAAAAGAAUAAGUCAGAGGAUGGAUUUGGUACCAAGGAUGUCACUACACCAGGUCAUUCCACGCCGGUGCCUGAUGGGAAAAAUGCCAUGUCUAUUUUCAGUUCUGCUGCUAAAACAGACGUCCGGCAGGAUAACGCUGCUGGCAGAGCUGGCUCCAGUAGCCUCACGCAGGUGACGGAUUUGGCGCCUUCCCUGCAUGACUUAGACAACAUCUUUGAUAAUUCUGAUGACGACGAACUUGGGGCUGUGUCACCUGCACUGCGCUCAUCAAAAAUGCCUACAGUUGGGACAGAAGACCGGCCUCUCGGAAAGGAUGGAAGGACUGCCGUUCCUUACCCACCAACAGUUGCAGACCUGCAAAGGAUGUUCCCCACCCCUCCAUCUUUGGAGCAGCACCCUGCCUUUUCUCCUGUGAUGAAUUAUAAAGAUGGAAUCAGUUCAGAGACAGUGACAGCAUUAGGCAUGAUGGAGAGCCCGAUGGUCAGCAUGGUUUCCACACAGCUCACAGAAUUCAAAAUGGAAGUGGAAGAUGGGUUGGGAAGUCCCAAACCAGAGGAGAUAAAGGACUUUUCAUAUGUGCACAGAGUUCCAGCCUUCCAGCCUUUCGUGGGAUCCUCCAUGUUUGCUCCACUGAAGAUGCUGCCGAGCCAGUGCCUGCUACCUCUGAAGAUGCCCGAUGCCUGUCUCUUCCGGCCUUCGUGGGCAGUUCCCCCUAAAAUCGAACACCUGCCCAUGCCGCCUGCAGCCACUUUCAUUAGAGAUGGUUACAAUAAUGUGCCUAGUGUCGGGAGCCUGGCAGACCCAGACUAUCUGAACACACCACAGAUGAACACGCCAGUGACGCUUAACAGUGCUGCCCCAGCCAGCAACAGUGGGGCAGGAGUCUUGCCAUCUCCAGCAACCCCUCGCUUCUCUGUCCCCACACCACGAACCCCCAGGACCCCAAGAACUCCCAGAGGUGGGGGCACUGCCAGUGGUCAAGGGUCUGUGAAAUAUGACAGCACCGACCAGGGGUCACCAGCCUCCACGCCCUCUACUACCCGGCCCCUUAACUCUGUGGAGCCUGCCACCAUGCAGCCAAUCCCCGAAGCCCACAGUCUCUAUGUCACCUUGAUUCUCUCCGACUCUGUGAUGAAUAUCUUUAAAGACAGAAACUUUGACAGCUGUUGCAUCUGCGCCUGCAACAUGAACAUCAAAGGGGCGGACGUCGGGCUGUACAUCCCCGACUCAUCCAAUGAGGACCAGUACCGCUGCACCUGUGGGUUUAGCGCGAUCAUGAAUCGCAAGCUUGGCUACAACUCGGGACUCUUCCUCGAAGAUGAGCUGGAUAUUUUUGGGAAGAAUUCUGAUAUUGGUCAGGCUGCGGAGAGGCGCUUAAUGCUGUGUCAGCCUGCCUUCCUCCCUCAGCUGGAAGGGGCCCGAAAACCCCAGGAGCCACCUAUCAGCCUUCUCCUCCUCCUGCAGAACCAACACACACAGCCUUUUGCUUCCCUGAGUUUCCUGGACUACAUUUCCUCUAACAGUCGCCAGACUCUGCCCUGUGUGAGCUGGAGCUACGACCGGGUGCAAGCCGACAACAAUGAUUACUGGACGGAGUGCUUCACCGCGCUGGAGCAGGGCCGGCAGUAUGUGGACAACCCCACGGGUGGCAAAGUGGACGAGGCUCUGGUCAGAAGUGCCACUGCACACUCGUGGCCUCAUAGCAACGUGCUGGACAUCAGUAUGCUCUCUUCCCAAGACGUGGUCCGCAUGCUGCUGUCCCUGCAGCCCUUCCUCCAGGAUGCCAUCCAGAAGAAGCGCACGGGCAGGACCUGGGAGAACAUCCAGCACGUGCAGGGGCCGCUCACCUGGCAGCAGUUCCACAAAAUGGCGGGACGGGGAACCUACGGUUCGGAAGAAUCUCCUGAGCCGCUGCCCAUCCCCACUCUGCUGGUGGGCUGUGACAAGGACUUCCUCACCAUCUCGCCAUUCUCCUUGCCAUUUUGGGAGAGGCUGCUGUUGGACCCAUAUGGGGGCCACCGUGAUGUUGCCUAUAUUGUGGUGUGUCCAGAAAAUGAGGCCUUGCUCGAAGGAGCCAAAACUUUCUUCAGGGACUUGAGCGCUGUGUAUGAGAUGUGUAGGCUUGGGCAGCACAAACCCAUCUGCAAAGUGCUCCGAGAUGGGAUCAUGCGUGUGGGGAAAACCGUGGCGCAGAAGCUGACCGAGGAGCUCGUGAGCGAGUGGUUCAGCCAGCCCUGGGGCAGCGAGGAGAAUGACAAUCAUUCCAGACUCAAACUGUACGCGCAAGUUUGCCGCCAUCACCUAGCACCUUAUUUAGCCGCUCUGCAGCUCGAUAGCAGCCUGCUGAUACCACCUAAGUACCAGAGCCCACCAGCAGCAGCACAGGGACAGGCUACACCUGGGAACGCUGGGCCUUUAGCUUCAAAUUCAGGAUCAGCAGCGCCCCCAGCUGGCAGCGCAUUUAAUCCCACCACCAACGGUAGUUCUGCGAACCCUGCAGCAAGCAGCUCCGCACCUGGCUCCUCUAUGCCACCGGUCUCGUCCUCAUCCUCUGCCCCUGGCAUCAACCAGAUAAACACUACCUCUUCUUCGGGAUUCAGUGGUAGUGUUGGCGGGCAGAACCCCAGCAGUUCUGCAGACAGAACGCAAGGGAACAUCAGCUGUGGGGGAGACGCUGAGCCUGGGCAGAGCUCCUCUCAGGCCUCACAGGAUGGACAAGAGAGUGUUACAGAAAGGGAGAGAAUAGGCAUCCCCACGGAAGCUGACUCCGCAGACAGCCAAGCCUACCCUCCGGCUGUCGUCAUUUACAUGGUGGACCCAUUCACCUACACCUCUGAGGAAGACUCCACUUCUGGAAACUUUUGGCUGUUGAGCCUGAUGCGCUGCUACACAGAGAUGCUGGAUAACUUACCCGAGCAUAUGAGGAACUCUUUCAUUCUCCAGAUUGUGCCUUGCCAGUACAUGCUGCAGACAAUGAAGGACGAGCAAGUUUUCUACAUUCAGUACUUGAAGUCCAUGGCAUUUUCCGUGUACUGCCAGUGCAGGCGACCGCUGCCCACACAGAUCCACAUUAAAUCCCUCACGGGUUUCGGGCCUGCAGCCAGCAUUGAGAUGACCCUCAAGAACCCGGAGCGGCCCAGCCCAAUCCAGCUUUACUCCCCUCCUUUUAUACUGGCCCCAAUCAAAGACAAGCAGACGGAGCUGGGAGAGACGUUUGGUGAGGCAAGCCAGAAAUACAAUGUGCUCUUUGUGGGCUAUUGUCUGUCUCACGAUCAGCGCUGGCUUUUGGCUUCCUGCACCGACCUCCAUGGGGAAUUAUUAGAGACCUGCAUUGUAAAUAUUGCUCUACCAAACAGAUCACGGAGGAGUAAAGUAUCUGCACGUAAAAUUGGACUACAGAAGCUAUGGGAAUGGUGCGUAGGGAUUGUCCAAAUGACAUCUCUACCCUGGAGAGUUGUAAUUGGGCGGCUUGGACGUCUGGGCCACGGGGAGCUUAAAGAUUGGAGUAUCCUCCUUGGAGAAUGUUCACUACAGACAAUCAGCAAACAGCUCAAGGAUGUGUGCCGGAUGUGUGGGAUCUCGGCCGCUGACUCUCCUUCUAUCCUCAGUGCCUGCCUGGUUGCUAUGGAGCCUCAAGGCUCCUUCGUCGUGAUGCCAGACGCUGUCACCAUGGGCUCCGUUUUCGGCCGGAGUACCGCGCUGAACAUGCAGUCAGCUCAGCUCAGCACACCUCAGGACGCUUCCUGCACGCACAUCCUGGUGUUCCCAACGUCGUCGACCAUCCAGGUGGCUCCGGCCAACUACCCCAAUGAAGAUGGGUUUAGCCCCAACAACGAUGACAUGUUUGUUGACCUUCCGUUCCCAGACGACAUGGACAACGAUAUUGGCAUACUGAUGACUGGGAACCUCCAUUCGUCCCCCAACUCCUCCCCGGUUCCCUCCCCAGGCUCUCCUUCUGGAAUCGGGGUGGGCUCUCAUUUCCAGCACAGUCGGAGCCAGGGUGAGCGUCUCCUCUCUAGAGAAGCCCCCGAGGAGCUCAAGCAGCAGCCUCUGGCCCUUGGGUAUUUCGUAUCAACUGCCAAAGCUGAGAACCUCCCCCAGUGGUUUUGGUCGUCAUGUCCCCAGGCUCAGAACCAGUGCCCCCUCUUCCUGAAGGCUUCCCUGCAUCACCACAUUUCAGUAGCACAGACGGAUGAACUUCUCCCUGCCAGGAAUUCUCAGCGAGUUCCACACCCUCUGGACUCCAAAACCACGUCUGAUGUUUUAAGGUUUGUUCUGGAGCAGUACAAUGCUCUGUCCUGGCUCACCUGCAACCCGGCCACCCAGGACCGCACUUCCUGCCUCCCUGUCCACUUUGUGGUGCUCACUCAGUUGUACAACGCCAUCAUGAAUAUACUUUAAUGGACAAGCACUUGUGCUCUCGGGCUCAGCUCCUUCGCGUGCGGGCCCAGCCCGAGGAGCCUGCUACACUCCGCGAACACCCCGUCCUUCACACCACUCUCCACGGUUCUGCGCUGUGACCACGUCUCGGCAGGCACAUGUCCAUGCUGCAGUGUUCAUUUGCAGAGGGACUCACCGACCCUUCUCUCACGGGCUGGACACCUCCAUGAGCAGCGAUCUCAGCCGGUGUUGUGGUGUGUGUGGCCCCAAUGCACUGGUCCACAGGAAGCUCCUUCAUUGUUGGUUUUGAAGAGGGCAACAGAAGAGACAAUGUCCUUUUGCACAAGAGUCUGUGUUUUCAGUCUCUGUUUAAAAUCAGGGCAGUUAAGCCCUUCGGAUGAAAUCCUUUAGUUAUCGGUAUAUGACCUGUGGGUAACCUGGACUCCGUAAUCUGGGACUUCUUAAGGGUAAGAGCCAGCUCACGUACAUGACUUCACGGUGGGGCUCCUGUGUGUCUCCUCGCGCUCCCCUCCAGGUGGCACGAGAGCUGGGCGUGACCACAUACCUGUGUGUAGAUACGAAAGGACCAGGUACAGUAGCUGAAACCGACUCAGAGCCACCCUAGGAUUCUCUGACUACAUACCUCUGUCCUAGAAGCCGGAAAAGGAGUGAAACAGAUGGGGGAGAUCAUGUCUAAACAGUCACAUACUCAGAGCCACCCAGCAGUAGGUUUGUUAAGGACAAACUGGGUUUUAAAAAUGGCCUGCGUUGCAUGAUGGAUAACAUUUCUAUACAGAAGGCAGUCAAGCUCUACCCCGAGCCAUGGAGGCAAGUACCUUACCUGUUUUAUACAGUCACAUGGAAAUCUAUUUUCUAGUGAAUUCUUAUCGAAAGCCAGGUCUCUCCUUUCACUAGUUCAAACGGGACUCAUGUACAUAUCACAAUCAAAAGCGUUUGCUCAGAAAAACCUGUCAUAAAUAUAAAUAUGGUGAAUUUUUUCUGGACCAUAGGAAUAUUAUUUCAAAGAAAUAUGACAACUUACCAUUAAAUUAGUACUUGAAGUUGAGCCUUCCUGGUAGGACUUUUUUAAAAAUGCCUUUUUAAAGCAUCAGUGGCUGAUUGAAGUAUUUUAUGACUCCUCAUUCCAGGCCCCGAGAGGGUUGUCUUUAAGACUCUGCUCCUAAGGCUUGUGGUUGCUGAGUGUUUUUUUCUGAGGGGCAGUGGGUGUGGACCUGCCUUCUGGGGGCAGCUCUAAUCAGGCUGCUGUGCUCUAGUCGUCUGUGGAGAGAAUCGUGCAAAUUUUAAAAGUUCUUCCAAGAGACUGCCACAUCCUGGUUAUUUAAAAAAAAAAAAAAUGUAAUAAUUGAUAUGAUUUUGUAAAAGUAUUUUUCUUGAAAUUAUCUAACGUUUAAAACAUUAUAUUAAAAACAAAGUUGUGUGGUGGGACUGUGUGGAAGCAGAGAAAUAACUUGUAAAUGGAGACUUCUGUUCUCUGCGCCACCAGUGGGGGGUUGACUUCUGCAAUGUAUAGGUUAAAAAAAUCUGCUAUAUCCAACCAUUUGUAUCUAAUGUGUACAGUGUAAAAUUGACUUUAAAAAUAUUGCAGUGCUAUUUUUUCUUAAUCAGAAAGGAGAAUUCUCAAGGCCUUUUGAAGAGCAUAAGAUGAUGAAGAUUGUAAACUUGUAUAAAAUUAUCUUGGUGAGAAGACAAAUUGUAAAGUAGAUAUUUGUAAUCUUUUACCACUUUGGGGUUGCUUUUUUCCCAGAAUUCAUCAGAACUUUGAAUUUUUUUUUUUUAAACAGGCUGUUUUUAACGCAGGGCCUUUUCUUCCCGAGAAACCCAAUUCUAAGCAAAAAAUGAAAAAAAAAAAAAAAAAAACUUAAAAAAAAAAAAACCCUACAAAAAAAAAAAAAGGCAGCAAAGGGUAGUUUUCAUCUGGUGUCUUUUAUUUAAGUUUUUUAAGUUAAGAAGAGCUGGUGACAUAUUUAUACGUUUUUGUGCAAAAAUAAAUGAAUGGCAAUAGAUUUUAAAAACUCUUAUGUACUUCUGUGUGAAAAAAGUCUGUAUAAUAUUUCCCUUAAAUAUGCAUUAUUUUACUUGUGAGUUUUUUACUGAAAAUCUGAAAUGUACAAGCCCUGGAUUUGCUACAGAGUGAGAAGUUAUUUUUUUUUUUUAAUUUUUAAUUUUGGAAAUUCUGCAGAAAUCAGAACUCUUACCAUGGUUUGAACUAAAAAGGGGGAAGGGCGGGGAGUGGGGCGGGCGGGCCAGCAUGCUUGUAUGUAUAUUUCAGAACCUUUUUUAAAUGUAAAAGCUGUACAUUUCUGAGAAGUUCUGAAUUUCUUUUGUUUUCUUUUUUCCUUCGAGCAUUUUGCAGUGAGCUUCUUUUAUAUAUAGCAAACGAUUUGAAAGAAUACAAGAAUAUGUGAAGUUCAUUAAAAAAAAACUACAGUAUAGCGCUGGUACAGUACACUAAAAGACUUUGAUAAAAAGAAACAAUAAUAAAAGGCCUCCAUUUUAAAUGUCAUUCAUAUAUACCUUGUGGAUGAGAGCUAUAUACUUUUACACACUUUUUUAGAGGAAUAAAUUAUUGAAUUACUGAAA